rnacentral:rRNA from 1 species
GACGAACGCUGGCGGCGUGCUUAACACAUGCAAGUCGAACGAUGAAGCCUAGCUUGCUAGAUGGAUUAGUGGCGAACGGGUGAGUAAUACGUGAGUAACCUACCUUUAACUCUGGGAUAAGCCUGGGAAACUGGGUCUAAUACCGGAUACGACCAAUCUCCGCAUGGGGUGUUGGUGGAAAGCGUUAUGUAGUGGUUAUAGAUGGGCUCACGGCCUAUCAGCUUGUUGGUGAGGUAACGGCUCACCAAGGCGACGACGGGUAGCCGGCCUGAGAGGGUGACCGGCCACACUGGGACUGAGACACGGCCCAGACUCCUACGGGAGGCAGCAGUGGGGAAUAUUGCACAAUGGGCGCAAGCCUGAUGCAGCGACGCCGCGUGAGGGAUGACGGCCUUCGGGUUGUAAACCUCUGUUAGCAGGGAAGAAGAGAAAUUGACGGUACCUGCAGAGAAAGCGCCGGCUAACUACGUG